CCCCGUGGGCACCCCAGAGGCUGGUGGGCAGGUGCGGGAGACCUGAGCUCUCCCCCGGGGCUGUUGCCUGGUGACAGUCCUGCCUGGUUACAGCCCCUGUCCCCAGGAGCAUGAGUGUGGGGAGCUGAGGAUUGGGGGCUGUAUGGAGGCCUAUGCAGGUAGAGCAGGAGCUGCUUACCUGGACAGUACUACCUUUCACUACGGAGCCCACUGUCCAUCAUGGUGACCUUGGACCACGUGUGGGCCUCAAGCACUUUGGACACAGACAGCGUGAGCGGAGCCGGGCUCAGGAGUAAGAUGUCCUAACAUGAGCCUUGGCUGUCAACUUGAUGGCCGAGAGAAGCCUAGGAGUGUAAAUACCAGAAAGCUUACCCUGCAGUCGUGGCUCACGUGACAGUUCUAGGGAACAGCACUGCUGCGGGGAUGUGGGUCUGACCCGAGCGUGCACCAAGGCAGGCGACACAAUGAGGAUGUCCCGGCUCGUGCACAGCCUGACAGGCACCUGUCAUGAGCAGACUGCCUCAGCCUAAUGGGAGCUCAGAGAGGACACAGCCCCUCAAGCUGCCUCACAGAUUGGGAGACAGAGGCUCAAAGGGGCCAAGUGGGACAGGGCUGGCACAGCAAUGCCCUUGACCUUGGGCUGGUGGCAACUAACUGGACUUGAAGGGUAGGAGGAAGACCCCACAGCCUUCCCUUAGCAUGUGUUAGCCCUCCUAGAAUGCCAUCUUCAGAGAAGAGUCGCACCCCAGGCUGGGGGAGAGGAGCCCGAGGUUGGAAGGAGGAGCUAAUAGGAGCUCAGCCUGCAGCGGGGUCCAGGCAGCCUCUGCCCCAAACAGCAGCUCCGAGAAGGCAGAGACCACCAGACGCUAGCCAGAGGGUCGGCUCUUCAGCUCCUGCAGCCAGUGGGCCGCGUCAUCACAGCGUAGUCCCCGCGUCUGCCUCCUGCCGCCAGCUGGUCUCUGCUAGGCAGGCGCCCAUGGGCCAGGCAUCCUGCGGUGGGUUACAGGUGAGAAAACUGAGGCGGGGAAGCUCUGCACUUGCCAAGGUCACAGCUGGGCGGCAGCAGAGCCAGGAUUUAACCCAGGCUGCCUGGCUCCAACGCGAGGGCCGUAACCAGUGCACUGCCCUGGCCCAAGGGACUGCAGGGUGUUCCAUGCCCUGCACACCACCGGCCUCUUUAACUGUGCUGAGCGAGUGAAUGAAUAACAGAAUGAAUGAAUGAGCUCCUGUCUCUCCGAGGACCCUCCAGCCUCCCUCCCGGGU